GUGCGCUUUACCUAACCAAAAGGGAAAGUAUAGACCAAAAUGGCAGACGAUACUAACAACAUCGCCGAAGUGGGACAAACCAUGAAAAAUACGAACAAUGUGACGCCGAAUCGUAAAACAAAUACAUAGUAAUAAACAAUGAAGAAGACACAGAAUCCAGUAAUGUUUGCAGUAAUGGCCCACUCAGAUGAAGAUUCAAUCAAUGGUGGUUACUCAAGAUGUAGGGUAGAGUGUCACUUGACAGCUAGAACAUUAUGGCAUGCAGGCAGGAGUC